rnacentral:lncRNA from 1 species
AGAGGCACCGUGUCUGCCUAUUAAGAGUGUCUCACCUGCUGAACGCUGUGACACUGAACUUGGCACCCAGCCUGCUGGACAGAGACCGGGCCCUAACUGCAGUGGCUCAAUACUGGAAAGCUAAUUUGUAUGAAAUCCUGAAACUACAAGUCUUUACAAAUAUAAUCUAUUAUAUAUAAAAUAUAUUUUUCCCAAACAUAGCCCAUUAAAAGCCUUGUCUGCAGAUCAUCCGCCUGCCCCAGCCCCGGAGUGGCUCCUGUUGGGGUUCACUCUGGAUGGAUGACGCUGGCCACACCCACCACAGGUCCAGUGGAGUUCGACUUCACCUCAUCUGCUGCUUGGAAUCGUCUGUUAUCUCCUAAGGAGUCCUAAUGAUUCCCCACAGAACUCUCCCAUACUUUUUUACUUCCUCUAAUUCAAAUCAGCUCCCUCUCAUUGCCAAAACCCGACCCAUCCACUGUCCAUCCACUGCCCUCUGUCUCAAAACUGUAGAUCAGCACUUUCAGAUGGACAAACACUUUGUUUUAGUCUGAGGGGAAUAGUGAUCAGCUCAAACGAAGUCCUUUCCUGACUCCAUCACACAGUUGUUUUUCUCUCCAUUCUCCCAGAGUAUGCUUUAGACCUCUUUUUCUUUCUUUCCUUUUUUUUUCUUUAACCUGACACAGGUAUUGUCAUUGCCUCUUAUAAAAUUUAAAAGUCCUGGGUUCCAAUUCUGUCUUUUCUACUACCCAUGCAAUCUUGUUAAAGUCACCCAAUCUUUCUGAUACUCAGUUUUCUCAUCUGCAAUGUAUUAAUAAUAAUCACAAUAAAAUAUAGCAAUAGUCAUAAGAUCUAGCACAUAGAGAGCUUACUCUGUGCCAGGCACUCUCUUAAGAGUAUGUAUGUAUACGAAUAUUUCAAUAAUGUAGAAGAAUGAUUAAAUAAUUUUUAGCAUAACCAUACCACAGAAUACUAAGUGGCCAUUAAAAAGAAUGAGAUGUGGGCCAGGCACGGUGGCUCACACCUGUAAUCCCAGCACUUUGGGAGGCCGAGGCGGGUGGAUCAUGAGGUCAGGAGACUGAGACCAUCCUGACUAACACGGUGAAACCCUGUCUCUACUAAAAAUACAAAAAAAUUAGCCGGGUGUGGUGGCAGGUGCCUGUAGUCCUAGCUACUCGGGAGGCUGAGGCAGGAGAAUGGCGUGAACCCAGGAGGGAGAGCUUGCAGUGAGCCGAGAUCGCGGCACUGCACUCCAGCCUGGGCGACAGAGCAAGACUCCAUCUCAAAAAAAAAAAAUGAGAUAUAAAAACAUGCAAAUGUAUUGAUGCUAAAAUAAUAAGUAGAAAAUCAAGUUGCAGAACAAUAUAACAUGAUCACUUACAUUAAAACUACAUUAGACAUAUAAAUAACAUUUCUCUCUGCUUAUAUCUAUAGAUCUAUCAAUA